UCCAUGUUUUUAUUGCCGUCU
rnacentral:sRNA from 1 species